rnacentral:rRNA from 1 species
UACGGAGGGGGCGAGCGUUAUUCGGAAUUAUUGGGCGUAAAGGGCGCGUAGGCGGCCUUGCAAGUCAAAGGUGAAAUCCCUCGGCUCAACUGAGGAACUGCCUUUGAAACUGCAAGGCUUGAGGCCGGGAGGGGGUAGCGGAAUUCCCAGUGUAGCGGUGAAAUGCGUAGAUAUUGGGGGGAACACCAGUGGCGAAGGCGGCUACCUGGACCGGUUCUGACGCUGAUGCGCGAAAGCGUGGGUAGCAAACAGG